UACGAACUGUGCAAACGUUAUUCGGAAUCACUGGGCUUAAAGGGUGCGUAGGCGGCUUAUCAAGUAGGGUGUGAAAGCCCCCGGCUUAACCGGGGAAUUGCGCCCUAAACUGACGAGCUGGAGUGGGACAGGGGUGUGUGGAACUUCCGGUGGAGCGGUGAAAUGUGUUGAUAUCGGAAGGAACGCCGGUGGCGAAAGCGACACACUGGGUCUCAACUGACGCUGAGGCGCGAAAGCCAGGGGAGCGAACGGG
rnacentral:rRNA from 1 species